rnacentral:rRNA from 1 species
AUUGAACGCUGGCGGCAGGCCUAACACAUGCAAGUCGAGCGGAUGAAGGGAGCUUGCUCCUGGAUUCAGCGGCGGACGGGUGAGUAAUGCCUAGGAAUCUGCCUGGUAGUGGGGGAUAACGUCCGGAAACGGGCGCUAAUACCGCAUACGUCCUGAAGGAGAAAGUGGGGGAUCUUCGGACCUCACGCUAUCAGAUGAGCCUAGGUCGGAUUAGCUAGUUGGUGGGGUAAAGGCCUACCAAGGCGACGAUCCGUAACUGGUCUGAGAGGAUGAUCAGUCACACUGGAACUGAGACACGGUCCAGACUCCUACGGGAGGCAGCAGUGGGGAAUAUUGGACAAAGGGCGAAAGCCUGAUCCAGCCAUGCCGCGUGUGUGAAGAAGGUCUUCGGAUUGUAAAGCACUUUAAGUUGGGAGGAAGGGCAGUAAGUUAAUACCUUGCUGUUUUGACGUUACCAACAGAAUAAGCACCGGCUAACUUCGUG